rnacentral:rRNA from 1 species
UAUCACUAAGCGGAGGAAAAAAAACUAACAAGGAUUCCCUUAGUAACGGCGAGUGAAGCGGGAAGAGCCCAGCGCCGAAUCCCASGGGUCGUACUCGUUGGGAACUGUGGCGUAUAGGACAGCCUCUGCUGCCGCGUACGGUCGCUCGAGUCCUCCUGAUCGGGGCCUUUCCCAUAGCGGGUGUUAGGCCUCUACUAGCGACCGUCGCGGUAGCUCUGAGCGUCCUCAGAGUCGGGUUGUUUGGGAAUGCAGCCCAAAGCUGGUGGUAAACUCC